ACAUCGCUCUUCUCAAAACUUAUGUAAUCUCUCUCUCCCCCUGACUUUUUCUCUCUGUUUCUCUUUUCAAUUUCUACUUUUUCAAAACCCUAAUUCCUCUCUUUUUCCCACAUGCAACUUUGAUUCGAUUGAUCAAUUGAUUUUUUUUGGCUGCUUUAUGGUCUGUUUCGGAUUGAAGUCAGAAUUGGAAUUUGGCAGUUGCUUCGAAAGUCUUAAGAUUUGGUAUCGUUAUUAGUUAUCUGGGUUCUGUGUUUUUACUCAAGAUUUUCUGGUAAUGUGGUUGAGUCACUAGUCAGGUGUUUGAUAUGGUAUCUGGAGAAUACUUUAAUUGCUUCGUAUUUAUUUCAAGAUAUUUUCUUUUAUCCCAUUUUGGGCAUAGGAUAAUGGCGUUAACCUGAUAUUCUAUUGUUCUGGUAGUGUUUCUUCAAGUAUUAGAUUUUAUUGGUUAUUACAUGCUUAUUCCAGAUUCGUGCUAGGUGCAUUUAAUGUUACACUUAUCCCUUCUUUCAGUUUUACCAUUUGUUGGUAACUUUAUUCGCAAAACAGGAUCAAAUUUAAUGUUUUGUGCAGGGUUUAGGACCAUAUUCUAAUAG
rnacentral:misc_RNA from 1 species